rnacentral:lncRNA from 1 species
UCGAAGUCUCCAAUUUGAAGUCCCCAAUUUGAAAUCUUCAACCCCGUCGGUCUUCAGGUUGAAGUCUUCAAAUCCGUUGAUCUUCAAGUUGAAAUAUUUAUGCCCUCCAAGUCUCAAAGUUGAAGUCUUCAAGUCCGUCGGUCUUCAAGUUGAAGUCUUCAAAUUCGGUGAUCUUCAAGUUGAACUACUUAGGCCCUCCAAGUCUCAAAGUCAAAGUCUUCAAGUUUCAGUCUUCAAAUUCAUCGAUCUUAAAGUUGAAUUGUUUAAGCCCUCCGAAUUUUUGAGUUGAAGUUUGCAAAGUCCGCCAAAUCUUCAAAGUUUUCUAAGUGUUCAAGUUGAUGUCAUCUUCGAGUUAAAUCUUUUAACUUUACAAUCUUAAGGUGGACAUAUAAGUCCCUUUGCACCUUAAGUUGGCCUCUUCGUGGGAUUGUCCUUAAAAGGAACUAUAACUUUCUAAUCUUAAGGUGGACAUAUGAGCCCCUUUCGCAUCUUAAGUUAGUCUCUCUGGUAGUCUGUCCAUUUUGAGAGUAAUCUCUCCAAGAAUCGGACCAUUUUGAGAGUAAUCUCUCUAAGAAUCCGGCCAUUUUGAGAGUAAUCUCUCCAAGAAUCAGGCCAUUUUGAG